UCAAGCUACUAAGAGCGCACAGAGGAUGACUUGGUAUCAGGAGCCGAAGAAGGACGUGAUAAGCUGCGAAAAGCUACGGGUAGACGCAAAUAGUCAGAGAACCGUAGAUGUCCGAAUGGGGAAACCCACAUAGCGAGAGGCUAUGUAUCCAAUAAUGAAUAAAUAGUUAUUGGAAGGUAAACGUAGGGAACUGAAACAUCUAAGUACCUACAGGAAGAGAAAGAAAAAUCGAUUCCCUAAGUAGUGGCGAGCGAAAGGGGAAGAGCCCAAACCUAAGGAAACUUAGGGGUUGAGGGAGUCUAUAAUCGAGAGAGUAAAUUAGAUGAAUAUAGUUAUGGAAAUCUAAGCCGAAGAGUGUAAAAGCCACGUAAUUUAAAAUUGAAAUUGAGAGAGACUAACCCAGAGUACCACGAGACACGAGGAACCUUGUGGGAAGCAGGGUGGACCACCACCCAAGGCUAAAUACUACCUGAUGACCGAUAGAGAAGGAGUACCGUGAGGGAAAGGUGAAAAGAACCCCGGGAGGGGAGUGAAAUAGAACCUGAAACUGUGUGCUUACAACCGCUCAGAGCACGUAAUAGGUGUGAUGAGGUGCUUUUUGUAGAACGAGCCAACGAGUUACGAUGUGUGGCGAGAUUAAGGUCUUAAGGACUGAAGUCGAAGAGAAAUCGAGUGUUAAUAGCGCGAAUAGUCGCAUGUCGUAGACCCGAAACCGGGUGACCUAUCCAUGAUCAGGUUGAAGCGAAGGUAAAACUUCGUGGAGGACCGAACCACGUUGGUGUUGAAAAACCAUGGGAUGAAUUGUGGAUAGCGGAGAAAUUCCAAUCGAACUCGGAGAUAGCUGGUUCUCCCCGAAAUAGCUUUAGGGCUAGCGUUAAUGUAUAGAAUAUAGGAGGUAGAGCACUAAAUGGGCUAGGGGCCGUGAGGUUACCGAACCUUAUUAAACUCCGAAUGCCUAUAUUUGUUAAUUAGCAGUCAGUCUAAGAGUGAUAAGAUUCUUGGACAAAAGGGAAAAAGCCCAGAUCACCAGCUAAGGUCCCAAAGUAUGAGUUAAGUGGUAAAGGAUGUGGAGAUUCUAAGACAACUAGGAUGUUGGCUUAGAAGCAGCCAUUCAUUUAAAGAGUGCGUAAUAGCUCACUAGUCGAGAGUUUCUGCGCCGAAGAUAAACGGGGCUCAAACUCAUCACCGAAGCUGUGGAAUGGAAACAUUGGUAGGGGAGCGUCGUAUAAGAGAGGAAGCUAAAGCGGAAGCAAUAGUGGAUUUUAUACGAGAGAGAAUGUUGGCAUAAGUAGCGAGAAUUAGGUGAGAAUCCUAAUGGUCGAAAGCCUAAGGUUUCCUGGGGAAGGUUCGUCCGCCCAGGGUAAGUCGGGACCUAAGCUGAGGUCGAAAGGCGUAAGUGAUGGACAAUCGGUAGAUAUUCCGAUACCACUAAUUAUUGAAUGAUCGAUGGAGGGAAGCAGAAGGAUAGGAUAGCCAACCCAAUGGACAUGGUUGGUCUAAGAGAAGAGAUAGUAUGUAGAGGCAAAUCCAUACAUACGAAGUUGAUUCUUUAUGGGGAGACGAAUGAGUCGAAGUAUCUGAGUUCACGCUGACGAGAAAAACUUCUAGGUAGAUAAUUAGUGCCCGUACCACAAACCGACACAGGUAGGCGAGGUGAGAAUCCAAAGACCAGCGGAAGAAUUGCAGUUAAGGAACUCGGCAAAUUGACCCCGUAACUUAGGGAGAAGGGGUACCAUAGAGAUAUGGUCGCAGAGAAUAGGCCCAAGCAACUGUUUAUCAAAAACACAGGUCUCUGCAAAAGCGAAAGCUUAAGUAUAGGGGCUGACGCCUGCCCGGUGCUGGAAGGUUAAGGGGAGCUGUUAUCGCAAGAGAAGCAGUGAACUUAAGCCCCAGUAAACGGCGGCCGUAACUAUAACGGUCCUAAGGUAGCGAAAUUCCUUGUCAGGUAAGUUCUGACCCGCACGA
rnacentral:rRNA from 1 species